ACUAGCUUUUUAACUUAGUUUCGACCUAGGGGUUUAUGGCUAGGU
rnacentral:tRNA from 1 species